UACGUAGGGGGCAAGCGUUGUCCGGAUUUAUUGGGCGUAAAGAGCGUGUAGGCGGCUUUACAGGUCCUUUGUGAAAACUCGAGGCUCAACCUCGAGACGCCGGUGGAAACCGUAAAGCUAGAGUCCGGAAGAGGAGAGUGGAAUUCCUGGUGUAGCGGUGAAAUGCGUAGAUAUCAGGAGGAACACCUGUGGUGUAGACAGCUUACUGGACCAUUUCUGACGCUGAGACACGAAAGCGUGGGUAGCAAACAGG
rnacentral:rRNA from 1 species